GACGAACGCUGGCGGUGUGCUUAACACAUGCAAGUCGAACGGUAAGGCCCUUUCGGGGGUACACGAGUGGCGAACGGGUGGGUAACACGUGAGUAACCUGCCCUCAUCUCUGGGAUAACAGUCGGAAACGGUUGCUAAUACUGGAUAUGAGCCUGCAAGGCAUCUUGUGGGUUGGAAAGAUUUUUUGGUUGGGGAUGGACUCGCGGCCUAUCAGCUUGUUGGUGAGGUAGUGGCUCACCAAGGCUUCGACGGGUAGCCGGCCUGAGAGGGCGACCGGCCACAUUGGGACUGAGAUACGGCCCAAACUCCUACGGGAGGCAGCAGUGGGGAAUAUUGCACAAUGGACGGAAGUCUGAUGCAGCAACGCCGCGUGCGGGAUGACGGCCUUCGGGUUGUAAACCGCUUUCAAUUGUGACGAAGCUUUUUGUGACGGUAGCAGUAGAAGAAGCACCGGCUAACUACGUG
rnacentral:rRNA from 1 species